GACGGAGGGUGCUAGCGUUGUUCGGAAUCACUGGGCGUAAAGGGCGCGUAGGCGGCCGCCCGCGUCGGACGUGAAAGCCCGGGGCUCAACCCCGGAACGGCGUCCGAUACGGGGCGGCUCGAGGCCGGGAGAGGGGGGUGGAAUACCCAGUGUAGAGGUGAAAUUCGUUGAUUCCAUAACGACUGGUAACGGCGAAAGCAACCUUUUAUGUAAUAACUGACGUUGAGGGACGAAGGCUCGGGUCACGAACAGG
rnacentral:rRNA from 1 species